AGUGAACGCUGGCGGUAGGCCUAACACAUGCAAGUCGAACGGCAGCACAGUAAGAGCUUGCUCUUACGGGUGGCGAGUGGCGGACGGGUGAGGAAUACAUCGGAAUCUACUUUUUCGUGGGGGAUAACGUAGGGAAACUUACGCUAAUACCGCAUACGACCUACGGGUGAAAGCAGGGGAUCUUCGGACCUUGCGCGAUUGAAUGAGCCGAUGUCGGAUUAGCUAGUUGGCGGGGUAAAGGCCCACCAAGGCGACGAUCCGUAGCUGGUCUGAGAGGAUGAUCCGCCACACUGGAACUGAGACACGGUCCAGACUCCUACGGGAGGCAGCAGUGGGGAAUAUUGGCCAAUGGGCGCAAGCCUGAUCCAGCAAUACCGCGUGGGUGAAGAAGGCCUUCGGGUUGUAAAGCCCUUUUGUUGGGAAAGAAAAGCAGCAGGUUAAUACCCCGCUGUUCUGACGGUACCCAAAGAAUAAGCACCGGCUAACUUCGUG
rnacentral:rRNA from 1 species